rnacentral:rRNA from 1 species
ACGAACGCUGGCGGCAGGCCUAACACAUGCAAGUCGAGCGCCCCGCAAGGGGAGCGGCGCACGGGUGAGUAACACGUGGGAACCUACCUUCUGGUACGGAACAACCAAGGGAAACUUUGGCUAAUACCGUAUACGACCUCCGGGUGAAAGAUUUAUCGCCGGAAGAGGGGCCCGCGUCCGAUUAGGUAGUUGGUGAGGUAAUGGCUCACCAAGCCGACGAUCGGUAGCUG